rnacentral:rRNA from 1 species
AGGAAUCGCUAGUAAUCGCAGGUCAGCAUACUGCGGUGAAUACGUUCCCGGGCCUUGUACACACCGCCCGUCACACCACGAAAGUCAUUCACACCCGAAGCCGGUGAGGUAACCUUACGGAGCCAGCCGUCGAAGGUGGGGGCGAUGAUUGGGGUGAAGUCGUAACAAGGUAGCCGUAUCGGAAGGUGCGGCUGGAUCACCUCCUUUCUAGGGAA